UACGUAGGGACCAAGCGUUGUUCGGAUUUACUGGGCGUAAAGGGCGUGUAGGCGGCAUGACAAGUCAGUUGUGAAAUCUCUGGGCUUAACCCAGAACGGCCAAGUGAUACUGUCGCGCUAGAGUGCGGAAGGGGCAAUCGGAAUUCUCGGUGUAGCGGUGAAAUGCGUAGAUAUCGAGAGGAACACCUGUGGCGAAAGCGGCGCGCUGGACCACAACUGACGCUGAGGCGCGAAAGCUAGGGGAGCAAACAGG
rnacentral:rRNA from 1 species